UACGUAGGGUGCAAGCGUUAAUCGGAAUUACUGGGCGUAAAGCGUGCGCAGGCGGUUCGCUAAGACAGAUGUGAAAUCCUCGGGCUUAACCUGGGAACUGCAUUUGUGACUGGCGGGCUAGAGUAUGGCAGAGGGGGGUAGAAUUCCACGUGUAGCAGUGAAAUGCGUAGAGAUGUGGAGGAAUACCGAUGGCGAAGGCAGCCCCCUGGGCCAACACUGACGCUCAGGCACGAAAGCGUGGGGAGCAAACAGG
rnacentral:rRNA from 1 species